rnacentral:rRNA from 1 species
AGUGAACGCUGGCGGCAGGCCUAACACAUGCAAGUCGAGCGGCAGCGGGUCCUUCGGGCUGCCGGCGAGCGGCGGACGGGUGAGGAAUGCAUCGGAAUCUGCCCUGUCGUGGGGGAUAACCUAGGGAAACUUAGGCUAAUACCGCAUACGACCCACGGGUGAAAGCGGGGGAUCGCAAGACCUCGCGCGAUAGGAUGAGCCGAUGUCCGAUUAGCUAGUUGGCGGGGUAAAGGCCCACCAAGGCGACGAUCGGUAGCUGGUCUGAGAGGAUGAUCAGCCACACUGGGACUGAGACACGGCCCAGACUCCUACGGGAGGCAGAAGGGGGGAAUAUUGGACAAGGGGCGCAAGCCUGAUCAAGCCAUGCCGCGUGGGUGAAGAAGGCCUUCGGGUUGUAAAGCCCUUUUGUCCGGGAAGAAAUCGUCUGGGCUAAUACCCCGGGCGGAUGACGGUACCGGAAGAAUAAGCACCGGCUAACUUCG